rnacentral:rRNA from 1 species
AGAGUGACGGGCGAUAUGUACACAUCCCAGAGCCAAAUUCAGUCAGCCUUUCUUAAACUAACUUACUAACAAAUCCACCUUCAUAAAGGAGUUACACCUUUAAUCCGUAUUUAAUAACUUUAAUUGUAGCUCAUCUAUGACUCAGCCAUAAGCUGCACCUUGACCUGAAGUGAAAGAACGAGUCUUCAAUGAAAACAUCCUAUAGGAGUAAUCUGACAACGGAGGUAUACAAGCUGAUUUACCAGGCUGAGUAAGAUUUAACGGGGAAUAUCGAUUACACGACAAGCUCCUCUGUAAGGUUAAGAUGCCGCCAAAAUCUUUGGGUUUGAAGAAUAUCUUUUACUACCCUGACAAGAAGUAGACUGGAAUAACAGGGUAUCUAAUCCUGGUUUCUCUCCCAGUUUUAUUAGAGCUUGAAAAAACAAGGAAGAACUUUAGGUUAUAGUAGAAAUUCCACCUAUAAAAUAACCAAUUUACUCCUUACUUGUAUUCUUCGAUCAACUAAACUUAAUCUUUUAUUCCAUUUGGGUCUGCCGUCUAACCGCGACGGG